rnacentral:rRNA from 1 species
GUUGAACGCUGGCGGCGUGCCUAAUACAUGCAAGUCGAGCGAACAGACGAGGAGCUUGCUCCUCUGACGUUAGCGGCGGACGGGUGAGUAACACGUGGAUAACCUACCUAUAAGACUGGGAUAACUUCGGGAAACCGGAGCUAAUACCGGAUAAUAUAUUGAACCGCAUGGUUCAAUAGUGAAAGACGGUUUUGCUGUCACUUAUAGAUGGAUCCGCGCCGCAUUAGCUAGUUGGUAAGGUAACGGCUUACCAAGGCGACGAUGCGUAGCCGACCUGAGAGGGUGAUCGGCCACACUGGAACUGAGACACGGUCCAGACUCCUACGGGAGGCAGCAGUAGGGAAUCUUCCGCAAUGGGCGAAAGCCUGACGGAGCAACGCCGCGUGAGUGAUGAAGGUCUUCGGAUCGUAAAACUCUGUUAUUAGGGAAGAACAAAUGUGUAAGUAACUAUGCACGUCUUGACGGUACCUAAUCAGAAAGCCACGGCUAACUACGUG